CUUCAGGAAAGCUUAUGGCCUCCCAGAGUAACCUCUACCUUACACACCUGUCUCUUAUAGGGCAGCACUUUACUCUCCUCCAGCUCUGCUUCACUCCCACCUUAUUUGAUUGAUAUUCCUGUCCUAAUGUGUUUUAUACCCCACCUACUAUAGACUGUAAGCUCAUUUGAGCAGGGUCCUCUUCAACCUAUUGUUUCUGUAAGUUUUCUUGUAAUUUAUAGUUACAUCCCCCCCUCUCAUAAUAUUGUAAAG